AGAGAUCCGGUAGAUUUUCUAAUAAAAUGGCUGCCUUUGGGAGCAAGAUUUGUUCUCCAUCUCUUCUUGUUUACAGAAGACUGAGGCCCGCCCCUGCACUUCUCAAUAAAGUAAAAAGAUCAGGAAAAAUAUCUAUGACACUACUGCAGCAAAAGCCUUCGGAUGUAAAUGUUUCAGUUUCAGCUUUGGUUCAGAAGUUUUCCACGUAUGAAGUAGCAAAUCGAUGUAAAAUGGACAAGAAGGAAUUGACACUCAAACCACUUUUCACUUUCCCUGAUUAGGACUAGGUGUAGUCAGACUCCUCCUCCAUGAGAAAAUCAAGUUACUGUUAGAACAGAGUCUGGCUACGCUAAAACAUGUUUAUUUUGGUAAAGGAUUUCAUGUUAAUGUCAACAUAGAUGGAUAAGUUUAUUAUUUUUAUUUAUGCAUCAUUAGAAAUCAAUCAACUAUCAAGUUAUUAAUUGAUGGGCGUGGUCGAGCUGUUAUUUAUCUAAAAAAACAAAAUGGCUGCCGCAUUGAGGAGAUUUUGUUCCCCUUCUCUCCUCUCUUACAGAGGAUUGAGUACCGCUCCUGUACUUUAUACUAAGGGAAAAGGUGCAGAAGAGCCUGUGAAGAAACUGUUUCUUGAUAAACUGGCAGAAUUUAAAAGUCAAGGAAAUGUCCCAAUGUCUGGUUCCAUCAAGAAAGAAUACGACGAUCAAGUAGCAAGACUCAAGCGUGUAUAUGGAGCAGAUAAAAAUGACUUGUCAAAGUUUCCAGACCUUAAGAGCCAAUGAGAACUACUGAACUAGUAAAGAAUAGGUUACAGUUAUAGGACUCAUAACUAAUGUAUUCUAUUACAGUAUUUAUGUAGUGUUUGGACUUAUUUGUUAAGAAGUUGACAAAAAUUAUAGCAAUUUUGAUAGCAA